rnacentral:rRNA from 1 species
CGUCAAAUCAUCAUGCCUCUUACGCCUUGGGCAACAAACGUGCUACAAUGGCGACUACAAAGCGCUGCCAACCCGUAAGGGGGAGCCAAUCGCAAAAAAGUCGUCCCAGUUCGGAUUGUGGGCUGAAACCCGCCCACAUGAAGUUGGAUUUGCUAGUAAUCCCGAAUCAGCAUGUCGGGGUGAAUGCGUUCCCGGGUCUU